rnacentral:rRNA from 1 species
AGCAGUCGCCACGGGAAUACGGAGGGUGCAAGCGUUAAUCGGAAUUACUGGGCGUAAAGCGCACGCAGGCGGUCUGACAAGUCAGAUGUGAAAUCCCCGGGCUUAACCUGGGAACUGCAUUUGAAACUGUCAGGCUGGAGUCUUGUAGAGGGGGGUAGAAUUCCAGGUGUAGCGGUGAAAUGCGUAGAGAUCUGGAGGAAUACCGGUGGCGAAGGCGGCCCCCUGGACAAAGACUGACGCUCAGGUGCGAAAGCGUGGGGAGCAAACAGGAUUAGAUACCCGGGUAGUCCCUGUCUCUUAUAC